rnacentral:lncRNA from 1 species
AUGUUGGAAAAGCCUUGUGCUGGUGUUGUGUGGAGGCCUGAGGCGGAGCCAUAUCCACUCAACCUUGGAAAAGGAGAGAGAACAGCAUCUCAGGAGGGAGAUGGUGAGAGGAGUUGCUGGAUGAGAAGAGAUCCCUCAAGAUCAAGAGAAGAGAUCAAGAGAGGAAAAUCCCUUGGAGCUGGAGGAGGGCUCUCUCAGGACCAUUCUGGCUGAGUUGGUAAUCAAAGACAUUUUGAUGGGGGCCGUAUGAUGAAACUCCUUUGACAUCACCCAUUUGGGUACACAACUGACACGACUUUGGAGAUGAAUGUGGUGAAGUCAAAGAUGGAGAGAGGUAAUUUCGACUUUUCUUAAAUUUUUUUUUCAAAACUGGAAGUUAAUGAUAGGUUAUUUUUUAGACUGGGUCAAAAAUUUCCUGAGGUCUAAAUGGCAUGAACCUACUUAUGUUUUAUAGGUUAAGAUUCUUUUGGUAUCAAGUAACAGAAAACUCAAGUGAAACUGUCUUAAACAACAACAAAAGGAUGCAUUCAUAAAUCCAGGUCAGAUUGGAUUCAGUAGCUUAACAGUGUAAUCAGAACCCAGUUUCUUUCAGUGUCUCUGUUUAGCCUCAUGUGGUGUCAGCUUCAUUCUGAGCCCGACUUUUUUCAAGGAGAGAAAAUGGAUGCACUGGUUUCAAGAGUUUCAUCCAUAUAUCACAUAGUUCAGAGGGAAUGAGAGUUUCAUUCCUUGAAGCCACCAAAAAAUGUUUGCUCUAAUCUUCUGGGACUCGUGUUCACCACUGAACUAAUAACUGUGGGCCAGAAUAGGACUGAGCUGAAUUGCUUAGGCUGGAACUCCUGUGCCCUAUCCCCAGAGCAGUGAUUUUCAUGAGGUGAUGAUUUUGCCCCCAGGUGACAUUUUUGGUUGUCGUAACUGGUGUGCGUGUGCAACUAGUAUCUAGUGAGUAGAGGCCAAGGAUGAUUCUAAGAGUCCUACAACGCUACAAUGCACAGGAUAGCAUGUUUCUCCUCUCCCCUGCAAAAAAGGGAAUUAUCUGGCUUCAGCUGUCAAGGUUGAGAAACUUUGCGUUAGAGGAAGUGUUACCGAAACCAAAGUGGGUUCGCCUCCUGGUGAGUUAAAUCAGACUCUCCACCAGAAGUAGUUGUCUCACAAAGUCAGGUAUAUUUGUAGCAAAUAGGAGACCAUGAGGAAUCAUUUCCUGAGUCAUGGUGUCCCCAAACUAAGGGAAGCAGGGACCUUUUAUUUCAGAUGGGGAAUGAAUAUUUAAAUAGGAGAGGUGGGUAUUUGCUUGUGCAGGCUUUGUUGGAAAACAUGCUUCCACGUGCACUGCAGUUAAGGCAAUGAGGCCUAAGCUCCUCCUGGAGAGAUCUUAGCAUUGAAAAUAAGGCAAAGGUUAUAAACGUAGCUCUGGGUGAGUCUUGGUCUGGUUCAGGGUGGUUGGUGACCGCAUCUGCUUAACAUAACAAAAGGAAAAAAAAACAAUUUGGAAAAAGAGUUAAAUGCUUCUAAACUCACUUUUGAGUUCUUUGGGGCAAUUAAUCUGUAGCAGAAGGUGUAGAUAUUAGAAUAAAAUUGGUGUAUUAGCAAGGGAAAAGGGAAUG